CCUGAACGCUGGCGGCGUGGCUAAGACAUGCAAGUCGUACGGAUGUAGCAAUACAUCAGUGGCGAACGGGAGAGUAAUGAAUCACUAAUGUGCCCCGGACUCUGGGAUAGCUUUCCGAAAGGAAAGGUAAUACCAGAUGAGACCACGAACAGGCAUCUGUUUGUGCUCAAAGGUCCGCCGGUCUGGGAGCAGGCGAUUUC
rnacentral:rRNA from 1 species